rnacentral:lncRNA from 1 species
GGAAGAGGUGAAGGAAAGGGCACAUGAAAUAAUAAAAUUCUUAUUGUUAGAUAUAUCUACUAAUAACAAAAUAAACAGACGCAUGUAAGGUUGAACAUGGAAGAAAAUGAUAGAAACCUCUAUAUUACUGAUACGUAAAUAUAAUGGGAAUGAUAGGAAAUAGAAUGAUUUACAUUCCUAACUUUUCCCACGUUUACUUGCAAUUAAGAAUGAAAAAAAUAUGUGGGCCCCACCUCAAAAUCUAUAAUCACAUUUUCGCAAAACCAAGAAUCAUAUCAACUAGGGGGAGUAGUUGAUCUGAUUCCCAUUCUUUUUUUCCUUGCUACCUUCCAAAAAUACUCUUACCACUUUACGAUAAUUCUAAAAGAGAUCAACUUGUUUGCUAUUGAACUCCAAAUUAUUUUUAAGAUCUAAAAAAAAUUGAAAUUAAAAUCAGAAAAUCAUAAACUUUAAUCCCCAAAUUGAAAUUAACAAAAGAAAAGGAAAAAGAUGUGAGGCAUAAACCCUAUCAAUUUUGGUGGGGAGAGAGAAAGAGAGAGUGAAUGAUGACAAAGGGAGGAGAGAGAGAGCGAUGACAGAAGGAGGAGAGAUAGAGAGAGAGAGAGUGAUGACGGAGAGACGAUAAAGGGAGGAAGAGAGCAACGACAGAGGGAGGAGAGAGAAAGAGAGAAGGCGACAGAAAGGGAGAGAGAGAGAGAAUGUAAAACCUCACUUUUUUUUAUUUUUAAUAAUAGGGGUGUUUUUGAAUUUUUUUUGGGUUUGGAUUUUAAAAAUGGGCCUACUAAACAAGUUUUUGAGUUUAUAAAAUUGGAUCUAAGUAAGAUGGGAGCAUUUUUGCUCACCACUUUAACUCAAGGUGUAUCCUCACCACCCUUCCCAAAAGGUGACACAUGUCUAUGGAUUUAACUAUAGUUAACUCUUUAUUUUUUAUUUGUUUGAUGACAUUAUUAUGAGAGAGAAACGAUGAUUUAAUAAGAUUUUUCCUAAUUUAGCCUUAUUCUAUUAAUUAACUCAACAAACUUUCCACUUUUAUAUUAAUUACCAAUUAAGCUAAUAACAACCCGAAUAAUUAACAACAGCAGAACAGUCAUUACUUAAAGAAAUAAAAAUUAACAGUCUUCCACUUCCCAUGAAUCUGUUGGCAUCUCAAUCUUAACGAAGGACAUGAAUUGUUAAAUUCGAAUUUGGCCUUGAUACUCAGAAAACUAAAUAAAACAAAGCAAAUUUAUAAUGAAAAAAAAAAAAACAAUACAUAGUACUAAAAAAAACAAGUAACAAUAUAGACAAUACCUAUCUUUUGCUUGAACAAAGGAAAGAAGUCUAUUGAGCAAAGUU